UACGAAGGGGGCUAGCGUUGCUCGGAAUUACUGGGCGUAAAGCGCACGUAGGCGGAUUGUUAAGUCGGGGGUGAAAUCCUGGAGCUCAACUCCAGAACUGCCUUCGAAACUGGCGAUCUUGAGUCCGGGAGAGGUGAGUGGAACUGCGAGUGUAGAGGUGAAAUUCGUAGAUAUUCGCAAGAACACCAGUGGCGAAGGCGGCUCACUGGCCCGGUACUGACGCUGAGAUACGAAAGCGUGGGGAG
rnacentral:rRNA from 1 species